rnacentral:rRNA from 1 species
AUUGAACGCUGGCGGCAUGCCUAACACAUGCAAGUCGAACGGGGUAGCAAUACCCAGUGGCGGACGGGUGAGGAAUACAUAGGAAUUUGCCUUUAGGGUGGGGGAUAGCCCGGGGAAACUCGGAGUAAUACCGCAUGAUGUCGAAAGACCAAAGCAGGGGAUCGCAAGACCUUGCGCCCUUAGAGAAGCCUAUGUCUGAUUAGCUAGUUGGUAGGUAAUGGCCUACCAAGGCGACGAUCAGUAACUGGUCUGAGAGGACGAUCAGUCACACCGGAACUGAGAC